GGAGUGCCACAAGAAUUCACAACGAUUUGUCAAGGAUAAGAAGUAUACUUCCUUUAAUUACGAGUUCUCUUUAACCAAAAUAAGAGUAAAAGCCUUUAGGAGUGCUUGUUAAUUAAAAUAACAAUUUGGCCAUGGGCUAUGUAAAUCUUCAGUGAGGACGGACUUGGUGGCAAGUGGUUGGUGGGGACACCAAAGCUGAAGCAAGUGAGCCAGGCUGGCUGAGGGCUUCAUGGGGAAGUACAGACGUCGCGGUUUUGUUGAAGUGCUCAUGACUUGUUCGCGUGUCUUACUCAUGCUUCCAACACCCCAGGGAGGCAGGUACCAGGCCAGCUUGAAAUCUAAGGCUGCUGGAGUUGAGAGUGCGUGAGGUGAGUAACAAAGCUGUCACCAGACGCAGGUUUUCCUGACCCCAAGCUCACGGUUCUUUCUAGAAAUUUGGGUCUCUGCUUGGCUUACUGUGUGUGUAUUCGAAGCCUUGAGCGCCCUUCUGGAAAUACAGAAGGUUCCUGCACUCCACCUGGGAACUUUGGGAUCAGAGUCCCCAGACUGUCAAAUGUUCCGCCCGUUCUCCCCAUGCCACCAUGCACAGCACCAGGGAUGACCGUGGUGCACAGUCAGGUGGGGACCCUCCCUCCACACAUUCCUUUCUGGCCACCUGCCCAGGUGUUACAUUUCUUCAUCUGCUCUGCAGGCCGCCACCUGGGCUUGAGUUUGAUCAGACCAAAGAGCCAGGACUGGCACAGGUGCUAAGAGCACCUCUGCUCCUCCUCUCUGGUCCUUGGCAUUACCACCCGCACGUCCAGGACCAAGACCACCAGGGACAGGGUGGCCAGGCCUAACCGCGAGCGUGAGUGCAAACCAAGUGCAGGUUCAGGAGCUUGCCCUCUCCCCAUGGUCCAGAUGUGACGGGAACUUUCUAGUGCCCAGAACGCCCCUGAUACUCUCCACUUGCUCCUGGAAUUAUACUCAGGGAUGUAGUGAGAGCAGUGCCAACAUCAGCACCAAAGGCAACUUGCCUUCCUAGUCAAAACUUGAAGAUAACAAAUGACAACAACCAGCGCACGGAACAAGUCUGAGCGUCAUGGUGGGCGUGCCUGAGGGGGUGUGGUUCAACAAGGGCUCCAACCCCCUAAACCUGGUGGGAGCUGGGAGGUGCCAGUGGGCUCCACUUAACGCGGAUAGCAGUAACACCAACUAUCAUGUCAGGAAGUCCUGUAAACGCAUUUCAUCUCUUCACCACAGCCUUGGUAGGGAACCGUUCCACUGAGGGUCUAGAGUGCUCCAGUGACUUCUAAGUCACACCAGCAGUCAGACAUGAAUUCUAGGCCUUCUGAGUGUCAGCCUUAAGCUCACUUUCCUCAUCAGUGGAUCCCAGAGAUGGGCAGAGAGUUAGAAACUCAACAACUACGGUCAUUUACUGUUUGACUGAGCUGAGAAGGUUUAAACAGAGAAAUUAGGACGGUGUGAACUUAACAGAACUAGAGGGUAGAUACCCAUUCAGAUUUUGCAAUCUGACCACAUCAGAAGGUCGGGACACCCACAUCCUCUGUGGCUGUCGCUGUUUUGUGCUUACCCAGAAGCUGUUUCUCCCACUCCUCUCUCGCUAACAGAACUCUUAAGGCAGCAGAACGCCCAGGGACCGUCAUGCUGAACUGGGGAAAUCCAGGCCCUUUUCGCCAGAUUCCUGUUUUUGCCUUUGUCCCUGGACUGGAUUGUUUCAGCCACAGAGACAUAAAAGGCCCCUGAUCACCUGCUUCCUUCCUGCCUGCCUUCUGUAUGUUUUGCAAGGACCCACGAAUGCUGCCUUGUAAGAAAAAGGUCUUUACAUGAACCCCAAUGUUCAUUGCAGCACUAUUUACAAGAGCCAGGACAUGGAAGCAACCUAGGUGUUCAUCGGCAGAUGAAGAGAUAAGGAAUUGUAGUACACAAUGGAAUAUUACUCAGCUUUAAAAAGAACACAUUUGAGUCAGUCUAAUGAGGUGGAUGAACCUGAGCCUAUUAUAGAGAGUGAAGUAAGUCAGAAAAAAGACAAAUAUUGUAUAUUAAUGUAUAUAUAUGGAAUUUAGUAAGAUGGUACUGACAAUCCUACAUGCAGGGCAGCAAAGGAGACACAGAGGUAAAGAAUAGAGUUUUGGACUCAGUGGGAGAAGGUGAGGGUAGGAUGAUUUGAAAGAAGAGCAUUGAAACGUGUACAUUACCACAUGUAAAAUACACAACCAGGGUGAGUUCCGAUGCUUGAAGCAGGACACCCAAAGCCAGUGUUUGGGCCAACCCAGAGGGCUGGGGUGGGGAGG
rnacentral:lncRNA from 1 species